rnacentral:misc_RNA from 1 species
CAGAUUCCUUGUCCUCAAGGAAUGUAGGAAACCUUGCCUGUAACUCAUCAGCAUAUUCCCACGAAGCAUCAGCAGGGGAAAGACCUCGCCAAUGGAUUAAGAGUUGAGUGGCAGCUGCAUUAUGCCUCUUCACCAUGCGACGAUCCAAAAUAGCUUGUGGAUAAGCAUCUUGGAUGUGAGACACAGGUGGUAAGGUAGGACUAGCAGUCACAGGUGCCGAUGCAAGUUUAAGUUGAGAAACAUGAAAGACAUUGUGGAUCUGGGCAUCAGAAGGAAGAUUGAGACGGUAGGCAACUGCACCAAUGCGAUCAGUGAUCUGGAAUGGCCCAAAAUACUUUGGUUGGAACUUAUGAUGUCCCUUCCAAAUAGAAAGUUGUCUAUAAGGCUGCAAUUUGAGAAAUACCCAAUCUCCCACUGCAAAUUCUCUAUUGACUCGAACCUUAUCAGCUUGAGUUUUCAUUAGAUGCCUAGCUUUAUCCAAGUGAAACUUUAGAAUAGAUAAAUCAUUUUCUCGAUCCCUUAAAAAAAUGUCUACUGCAGCAAUUUUUGAAUCACCAAAAUUGAGCCAAGGGUAACCACUGAGCCCACGAGUGCGGCAAAUCUCCUGUCAUACACCUGAGGUAACUCUGAAGGCAUCUAUUUACCACUUCAGACUGCCCAUCCGUUUGUGGGUGAUAUGCAGUGGAUAGUUUUAAUUGAACCCCUUGAAGAGCAAAUAAUUCCUUCCAAAAUGCACUCAAAAAAAUUGAAUCCCUGUCACUCACAAUUGUUUGAGGCAGUCCGUGCAUCUUGAAUACAGAAUCUAGGAAAGCCAUAGCUACUGUUUUAGCAGUAAAAGGGUGAUGGAGGCCAAUAAAGUGGGCAAAUUUGGAUAAUCUAUCUACUACAACCAUAAUGACUGUCAUACCACGAGAUAGAGGAAGGCAUUCAAUAAAAUCCAUGGUUACGUCAGAGAAUAAUGUGGUAGGAACAGGCAAGGGCUGUAGUAAACCUGGUGUCGCAGUCAACUCUGGUUUAUAUCUCUGACAGACAAAACAAUUCCUAACAUAUUGUCUCACAUCUCGAUGUAACCCAGGCCAAUAAACAAGAGAAGAUAUUUUUUUUAAAGUAGCAGUCACACCCGAGUGCCCUCCAGUAGCAGAAUCAUGGAACACAGCCAAUAGUUGUUGCUUUAAUUCAGGAUUAUGACCCACCACUAAUUUCCCUUUUCUCCUCAAUUGUUGAUUAUGCCACUGAAAAGAUGGAUGAGAAGUAGAAUUAAGUUUCUUAUCAUUUAUAAGAUGUUGGCAAUUAGAACCACUACCCCAAGUUUCUGCAAUCUGCCCAUAUAAUGAUGAAGGAAGCAGUGUAGAAGAUAAGACAUUCAAUUCUAGUAGUGGUGAUCUUGACAGAGCAUCAGCUACUGCAUUGUCAGAACCCUUCUUAUAUUUGAUAUCAUAAUCAAAAUAUAUAAGCUUCGCCAUCCAAGCUUGCUGAAUGGGGGUUGUAAGUUUCUGAUCCAAAAGGUAUUUUAGGCUGUGAUGGUCAGUUAAGAUAGUAAAAUGCUUUGUUUGCAAGUAAUGAUUCCAUUUUUUGACAGCAAAUAAGAUUGCAAGUAGUUCUCUCUCAUAUGUAGAAAGAGAUUGAUGCUUGAGGGAUAAAGCCUUACUGAUAAAAGCUACCGGAUGUCCAGAUUGCAUUAAUACGGCCCCAAUACCAAUAUUUGAAGCAUCUGUUUCAAUGACAAACUCUUUAGAGAAAUCUGGUAAUGUGAGAACAGGAGCAGAAGUUACAGCAAAUUUAAGAGAUUCAAAGGCCUGUUGAGCUUCGUUUGACCAAUGGAACCCAUUCGCCUUGAGUAAUUCAGUUAAAGGCCUAGCAAGAACUCCAUAGCCUUUGACAAAACGUCUGUAAUACCCUGUGAGCCCUAGAAAGCUCCUUAAUUGCUUUGGAGUGGUAGGUCUAGGCCAUUGUCUCACCACUUCAAUUUUAGAUGGAUCAGUUUGAACCCCUUUUGCUGAGAUAAUAUGUCCCAAAUACUCCAUUGAUAGAAAGCCAAAAAAACACUUACUUCUUCUGGCUAAGAAUUGGUGAUCCCUCAUAGCUUGCAAGAUUUGUUGCAAAUGAAGGAGAUGCUGCUCUUUAUUCUCACUAUAUAUUAGAAUAUCAUAAAAAAAAACUAAAACAAAUUUCCUCAAAAAUGGCUUAAAAACUGAAUUCAUGAGACUUUGGAAGGUUGCAGGGGCAUUAGUUAAGCCAAAAGGCAUAACUAGGAAUUCAUAAUGUCCCUCGUGCGUCUUGAAAGCUGUCUUAGGAAUAUCUUCCUCAUGCAUCCUGAUUUGCCAAUAUCCAGAACGCAAGUCGAUUUUAGAAAAUAUAGUGGCAUGCCCCAGUUCAUCAAGCAACUCUUCUAUCACAGGUAUAGGAAAUUUGUCUUUCACAGUAGCAUGGUUAAGUGCUCUAUAAUCAACACAUAAUCUCCAGGUGUUGUCUUUUUUCUUUACAAGCACAACUGGACUUGCAUAAGGGCUAGUAUUGUUCCUUAUCACCCCAGCUUUUAACAUAUCUGUAAUCAUGUCUUCAAUUGCAUCUUUCUGUUCAGCUGCAUAUUUAUAUGGUCUGAUGUUAAUUGGUGAAGAUCCUGCUUUGAGAACAAUUCUGUGAUCAUGAACACGUUUUGGGGGCAAGGUCUUUGGCUCCUGAAACAAAUCAUUAUAAGUCAAUAAGAGAUUAUUUAAAUCAGGCCAAGAUUUCUGUUGCUGCUCUAACUCGACUUGCUCCUGCGGACCUGCUACUGAAUACAGAUAGGCAGUAGCUUCACGUCUGUCCACGUGAAAUAAUCCAUCAUCAUUAAGGCAAGUCAUCAAGCUAUUAAGCUCUU